rnacentral:rRNA from 1 species
GUCCUCUUGAAUUUAAUUUGAGGUUUAACCUGCCCACUGAAAUUUUAAAUGGCCGCAGUAAUUUGACUGUGCAAAGGUAGCAUAAUCAUUAGUUUUUUAAUUGAAAGCUUGUAUGAAGGGUUGGACGAGGUAAAAUCUGUCUUUAUUUAAUUUAAUUUAGAAUUUAAUUUUUAAGUUAAAAAGCUUAAAUUUUAUUAAAAGACGAGAAGACCCUAUAGAUCUUUAUACUAUUUAUAAUAAUUUUAAUUUAGAAUUUUUUAUUUUUUAUUGUAAAUAUUUAUUUUAUUGGGGUAAUAAAAAGAUUAAAUAAAUUCUUUUUUUAAUUUACAUUGAUUUAUGAUUAUAUGAUCCAAUUAUUUUGAUUGAAAGAUUAAGUUACCUUAGGGAUAACAGCGUAAUUUUUUUAGAGAGUUCUUAUCGAUAAAAAAGUUUGCGA